CAUAAAGAGGUAGGGUCUCUUCAGAUUCCUCCAGAUAGUCCACUGGGACAAAGGUUACAAUACUGGAAGGAGCUUCUUAUCUACUGCCGGCAGCCCAAUGACAGACACUUGAAACAUGCAGAGCACGACCUUCCUCUAGGAACUCAGGACUGCCUUAAUGCCUUAAUGUCAUUUUAUUACCCAGUCUUACUAAAAGUCAAAUAAGCUA